GGCACUCUGGGAAGGCAACCUAGGAAGGGUGGGGCCCUGGGGCCUUUUGAGGAGCUAAGUGGCCAAGGAGAGUGCUUUGUGAGUCUCUUGUUGGAAGGACUGUCUUUAAAUUAAAGCAAUUAGAGUUACUUUAUAAGAUUUACCCAAAUAUAAGAGCUGAAGAGAAUAAUUCAAAUUGAUCAGAAGAAAAUACUCAAUUACUGACAAAUGUCAAUUACAUCAAUAGCCUAGGCUGCUCUUGAACUCCUGGGCUCAAACGAUCCUCCCCUGUCGGCCUCCCAAAGUGCUGGGAUUACAAGCUUGAACCACCAUGCCCAGCCUCAGAAAUUUUUUAAAUGACAGCUCAUACAGUUUUCUUUUAUAAAGGAGGAGAAAAUGUGUAAUUGUAAGCAGCUGAACUAAAAUAUCUCUGUGACAUUUUGCUGGUGACUCCAGCCCUGUGAGAUCUGAGUGGCUCAGGAAUCAAAUUCUCCCACAAACCUGAGGAAGCCUUUUAUUCUUAAUGCCAACAGGAUGCCCCAUGCCCAGAAUGUCAAAUCUGAACACCAAUGGAAUGCAUUUUAUAAACAAAUUGAAAAAGGACAAUCUUUAACAGAAUUGUUGUUCUCUAGGCAGAUUAGUUGUGCUUCAAAUACAAAAUGAAAUAUUAGAGAACAAAAUUAUUUUUAAACAGCUAAUACUAGUAGAAAAUAAAAGGCUGAAAAGUGCUAUAAUGUGUAAAAGGACUAAAA
rnacentral:lncRNA from 1 species